UGCUUUGCGCAGAGGCGGUGUCGUACCCUAUGAAGUUCUAAAUGAGGGGCGACUAUUGCUAGUUGAAAAACUCUGACCUUUUGAGUUUCUGUAAUAUUCUUGUUAUAUUAAAU
rnacentral:snRNA from 1 species